CGGCGACUUAUAGUUAGUGGCAGGUUAAGGUAGAGAAUACUGGAGCCACAGUGAAAGCGAGCUUUAAUAGAGCGUGUGUCACUAGUUAUAGACCCGAACCCGGAUGAUCUAACCAUGGCCAGGAUGAAGCCUAGGUAAUACUAUGUGGAGGUCCGAACCGACUGAUGUUGAAAAAUCAGCGGAUGAGUUGUGGUUAGGGGUGAAAUACCAAUCGAAUUCGGAGCUAGCUGGUUCUCCCCGAAAUGUGUUUAGGCGCAGCGGUUAAUAUUAUAGCUUAGAGGUAAAGCACUGUUUCGGUGCGGGCUGGUAAUUCGGUACCAAAUCGAGGCAAACUCUGAAUACUAAGUGAACAGUUAACCAGUAAGACUGUGGGGGAUAAGCUUCAUAGUCAAGAGGGAAACAGCCCAGAUCACCAGUUAAGGCCCCUAAAUAAUUAUUAAGUGGUAAAGGAGGUGGGAAGACUCAGACAGCCAGGAGGUUUGCUUAGAAGCAGCAAUCCUUUAAAGAGUGCGUAAUAGCUCACUGGUCUAGUAAUCCUGCGCCGAAAAUGAACGGGACUUAAAUAAUUUGCCGAAGCUGUGAGAUAUUUAU
rnacentral:rRNA from 1 species